UCCUAGCUGUAAACGAUGAGCACUAAGUAGAGGGAAUUCCGACAUUCUCUCUGCUGUAGCUAACGCGUUAAGUGCUCCGCCUGGGGAGUACGGUCGCAAGACUAAAACUCAAAGGAAUUGACGGGGGCUCGCACAAGCGGUGGAGCAUGUGGCUCAAUUCGAGGCAACGCGAAGAACCUUAUCCUGGGCUUGACAUGCCGGUGGUACAAUCCUGAAAGGGGGAGACCUCUUCAC
rnacentral:rRNA from 1 species